rnacentral:pre_miRNA from 1 species
GCGGUCGGUGCCGUGUUCUGGUCCUGACUCGGCUGACGCUGGAUUGGCGGGCGCCCGCUGGUCUGUCACAGACCACGGGACCGGCCGCAU